rnacentral:rRNA from 1 species
UACGUAGGGGGGCAAGCGUUGUCCGGAUUUAUUGGGCGUAAAGAGCUCGUAGGCGGCUUGUCGCGUCGACUGUGAAAACCCGAGGCUCAACUUCGGGCUUGCAGUCGAUACGGGCAGGCUAGAGUUCGGUAGGGGGAGACUGGAAUUCCUGGUGUAGCGGUGAAAUGCGCAGAUAUCAGGAGGAACACCGAUGGCGAAGGCAGGUCUCUGGGCCGAUACUGACGCUGAGGAGCGAAAGCGUGGGGAGCGAACAGG